UAUCACUUAAAGCGAUUCAGCGGGUUACGAUUGACGGAGCGAAGCGACGUCAAAGCGUUCAUUAAAGUCGAGUUGGCUUAGGGAUACGUUCGUUGGGUAGGGGAGCGUUCUGUAAGCCUGUGAAGGUGGCCUGUGAGGGUUGCUGGAGGUAUCAGAAGUGCGAAUGCUGACAUAAGUAACGAUAAAGCGGGUGAAAAGCCCGCUCGCCGGAAGACCAAGGGUUCCUGUCCAACGUUAAUCGGGGCAGG
rnacentral:rRNA from 1 species